ensembl:misc_RNA
CCAGCAGGCCUGAAGACUGAAGUCCUCCAUUUAUCCCCAGAAGAGGCAAGGCUGAGCCAGUGACAGGGCAUGCUUCCUACAAUGCCUCACAAAUGUGAUUGGAUCACCCUCUAGGGUGAGAAGCUAGCCUUUCAACCUUUGGCCAACAAAGUUGCCAAUU